UGAUACACACCUGUCUGUCCAACAAUACAUAGGAAGUGCAUAAACAGUAGCGUGUACGCCGGUAGGUGCGACGCCAGACGUCUCUGUUGUUUUAACAAACGUUUUUGGAAACUAUACACAGGCCAAAAAAGCAAGGGGAAAAAUCAUUAUGGCCAAAAGAAAACACUCGUUGGCUAAGAGGCCGCUGGCAUCUGUGGUAUGACGUGAACAUCCUAGCUACUGAAUAGUGGUUACGAGCAAAUGAGAAAUGAUCAGAGUGACUUGAACCGAAUAAGGUGAGCGGAACGAUUAAUUGCAUUGUAAAAAAAGAAAAAAAAAGCGACAAGCAACGUGAUCAGUGUCAAGAGGAGGUCCUGCAUGGCUUCUCUGGAGACCAAACCCCAAUCUUAAUUAAUUCCGUUUCCCAGCGACCGCGAAGAUCCGUCCACCUAGAGUGGAGAGGCGAGCCCGCCUUUCCACCCAAGUAAAUGUUGCAGCGGCAGCGAGGGCUUCCAGGAUCCCGCAUUUAGGCCUGGACCCGCCGCCGGCCUCCCGACCAUGAACCGCAUCCACAUUAAGGCCAACGGCGUCUCUACGUCUAUACUUCGCAGCGUCGUAUUGGUAACCGCGGUGACCAUCUUGUUCGUCGUGGCCUUCUUCGGCUACUCGUUUCUCAAUGACAAUCUCCACCGCGUCUUCCAGGGGCGGCAAGUGCACCACCCGCGCCAGAAGGUGCACCACGCCAUGGCCAACGUGAAGAACGCCAACGUCGUCCCCGACCAAGCAAAAUCUCACAUGGGAAACAUUUACAUUGACAACAUUCAUCACGAGGAGGAUGACUACUAUGAAGACGAAUAUGACGAGGACUAUGAGGAGGAUGAAGAUGAUGAAGAUGAAGAUGAAGAUGAUGAUGAUGAUGAUGACGAUGAUGAUGAUGACGACGAUGACGGUGAUGAUGAUGAUGAUGACUAUUACGGUGAGGAUUAUGAUAGACAUGCGUUGAGAUAGUGGGCCAUCUGCAUACAAAAAUGAAAAUCGAUUAUCACGGGUCCGAGAUGCCAAGCUAUACUGGGGAAACCUAAGUAAACCAGGCGCCAGGGAGUAAGCUUCGUUUUCACACCUCUUACAAACUAGAGAGCCUUCCAGUGGAAUCCACAGACAAGACUCGCCAUCUAAGUGAUAUAGGCCUUAAUAUCAUGGGCAAACAGCAGACGUCUAAAACACCGUUUUCUGUAAUUUUGCGUGUGUGUGUGUGUGUUUAUGCGUGUGCGUGUGUGUGUGUGUAUGUGCGUCGUUCUUCCUUUCAAGCGAAGUUUUCAUAAAUUUCUGUAUAAUGAAACCGUGUGCUUUAUGUGAUUUAUUUCAAUCGUGUGGACAUGUGAUAGGUACAAUGUUAAUAAAUAAAAAGUAAGUUGAUACA